CUAGGCGCGGCGUCUCUGUGCAAGGUUCCUCCGGCUGAACUGUUGGUGCUGCCUUUUCGCACUGGGAACUCUGGUUCCUAGUGCUGGGUGCAAGGCCUCUGUAUGCGACACCCCAUGAGCAAGUGAAACUGGACGAAGCACAAAGGAACAAAAAAGCAAAGAUGACUAUUAAGUUGAAAAGGAUGUGUCCCCAAAACAGAGCAAGUCUGGACUGCACAAAAUUACCUUCCACCUCAGAGCAAAUUACGACUUAAUAUGUUUCUGGGAGCACAAUCAUCCACUCUGGGGGAAGCCAGCUGCCAUAUGUGAGCAGCCUUGAGAAGAGGCCCAUGUAGCAAGAAACUGAAGCCUCCUGCCAUCAUGAGUAAAUUUGAAAACAGAUCGUCAAGCCCAAUCAAGCCAUCAAACAUUUUGACUGCAACCUCAUGAGAGACUCAAGAGCCAGAACUGGCCAAUUAAGCCAUUCCCAGAUUCCUGACUGUCAGAAACUGGGUGAAAUAAUAAAUAUUGGUUGUUGUAAGCUGUGCAUCGUGGGAUAAUUUGUUAUGCAGCAAUAGAGAAUUAAUGCAUCCACUUGGCCAACACAUGCCAGUCUGUACUGCCAAUUUUCUUCUGCACGUUAAAUGGUCUCAGGCAAUAGUUUUAGUGAAAAUUAAAUCAGGCAGACCAAUCCUGUCACCAGGUAAAUAGUCAAAGAAUACCGGAGCAGCCCUUUCAGGCUUCUCAUUUUUGCAGAUCCACGUCGAUAGAAAUGAAAGAACUCGUCCACAGUCACCCAGUCACUGUCAUGUCAUUGCCCUUUCUGGCGCCUCAAAUCCCUCAAGAGCCUCUGGGUCUCACAGCCAAUCACUGGGACCACGGCUAGGAGGCAGCAGUGAGCAGGAGGUGGGAAGAGCCUUUUUAUCCUUGAUGGUCUUAUUUCUGCCUGUUUUUCCAAGACAAUUAGUCUCCAGAAAUCCAAGACAAAAUAGUUUGAAGAACC